AACCUUCUCGUAAUCCACUAAUCAAAUCGGGAGCAUCUGAAAACUGCUACCAGCCAAAGUAAAAUGACAGGAGCUGAACACUGCCCCGAGAAUGCAACAGAACUUCAGCUCUGUCCCAAGGUCGUCAGCCACAGCUCCAAGUUUCUUAGCAUCAGCUUUUUCUGAACAAAAUAGUGCAUCCUGCUGGAAUCACUACUGUAAACUGAGUAUAAAGGAAAAUAAACCCUCUUUUUCUUA
rnacentral:lncRNA from 1 species